CUACUGCUGUCUAAUGUAUGCCUUUCUCUCUCUUAUUGCAGAAAGCGAAGUAAACUAAGUCAGAAUAGAGUCCAGUGUUCAGUUGUGAAAGAAGUGACAUUAAUCCCAAUCCAAAAGAAGCUGCGUAACAUCUUCAUACCAGAUUUUUUAUCAUUUGUAUAUCAUCUUAAAGGGAUAUUCCGUCCUUCCUUGAGCUUCUCACCCUGCAGCAGGCUGUAACGGAUUGGCCUGAGGUCUCACUACAAACAAACGGCUGCUGGAGGAGAGUAGGUGAGUUGUGUUUAGUCUCUUUGCUAAGGAAAUCAGGCAAAGUUAAAAAGAUGUUUGGUGGCUAGUGCUAUGGCUGGGACCCUAUAUGUACUGCUGAUGAAGUUAGGUGCUGUUCUGAGCAUUACUUGUGGCUAUAGAGUGGCUUUUUGGUUGAGGUUUGUUUAUGGAGACGUAAAUCACCUUGUAUUGCUAUCCUGCGGUCGUUACUAAAAUUGGUAUAACUAGAGAAGCAAGCGGUCAGCAACAAUCAUCUCUUGGGGGGUGUCUAACUCGAUGUUGUGGUGUGUUUGACCCGAAAUUAAGUUUACGCCGGAAUAUCCCUUUAAGUGACAGUGUAGAAUGAGGAUACUGAGGAACAUCUAGCAAGAAUGAGUCAUCAUUCUGAGGAAACAUUAACAGGAUUUUUGAAAGCAGCACUGAGAUCAUUCAGCAUUAUUUUCCUGUGAACUAAUGUCACUUUUAAUAAAUAAACCUUUCCUUGCUCGUCCAACAGAAAACUGACAAUGUCAGUGUUGCUCUUCAAACAUAAAUUUUUCAUUAGGAUUUUCCAUCUAUGAAAGAAAACACUGAUAUUAACCCUUUUGUUUUCUGCUAUUACUUUUUUCAUCUUUUGUUCAGACUCACAUUCCCGUCUUUUGUGAUAAGUCUGAUCCUGCAUUUGUCAAGUUUUUAGGAUAAAAAAUAUCAAUACAAAUAUCAAUACAAAUUCAUUUGCACACAGCAACAACAACCAAUCUCACGCUGUCUGUUUAACAAGACAUGUUUGGGUCCUGCUAGUUUGUCCAUUCUGGGCUACUGUAGAAAACAUGGCAGUGUGACAAAUGUAGCAGCCAAAACCUGUUACUUUGCUGAUAUAAAAGACUUGCACUAAGCCACUAAGCGAUAAUGAUAUUAAAUUUCAUAGAACCUAGUUUAAAUAUAUCUGUGUAACACAUUCUGCUAAAUUCUACAGAAUGUACCUUUAAUAUCAAGACAAAAUUAGAUAACUGCUGACCCUACUCAGGAGUUAUUUUGUAAAAAGUGAUGACCAAGGACCUGAUUGAAAGAAAUGUAAUAAUAAGUGAUGAGGAAGACUGGGCAGCUGAAACCAAUAGAAACCAAUGAUAGAAAUUCAUGAAAAAGGUGACGAUGAUCCUGACUCCCAACUCUGACAUCCAAAAUAUGACAAAAGGGAUAAUUGCUGACCUGAUGUAAGAAAUCAUAAAAAAAAAAGGUUGAGGUGGACCUGACACAAUAAUCAUGGAAAAACUGUGUUUUCAGGGGUAUAGAAAGGAGUGUCAUCUGCAUAGCAGUGGUAAUUUUUUGAGUGUGUCCUGAUAAUAUUGCCUAGAGGAAGCGUAUAUAAGGUGGAAAAGAUGCAAAAAGAGGUGAAAACUGCUUCGACUCAAUGCACCCAGCCUGAACGAGGAGACAGAUUUGAGGCCAUUUCUUUACUACUGUCCAUAAAACCCUUUUCUAUGAUGUUGUCAUCAUAUAAGAGGGUUUUUAUGGACAGUCUAUUAGAGUACCAUUCACACUCAUCUGUUCUUUACAUGUUGUCCUUUGUACAUGCGCAUUUGUGAUACUGAGAGUAUAAGUGCCUCAGGUGAGGUUAUUCAGCAUCAGGUAAAAUGCUACAAAGCUGAAUGAAUUAAUUUCAGCCAAGAUGCUUCAUUAACAGAUUUUUCUGCGUCUAUCCAUUUCUUAAAUGUUGCACCUGCUGUUUUCAAUCCCUGCACCAUGCCUUCUUCUCUGAGGCUGCAGUGAACCGUCUCCACAGGCUUCAUUAAAGUUUCAUCCAGGUCAAAUAAAAACACUUCAUUCCUGCGGACAACAAUAUCAUUAAGUGGUUUUACAAAGAGGUAUAAGGUGGCCAUUCAACCAUGAAUCCUGCUGAUUUUAUCUAUUAAUUCUGCACUUUACAUUAUAGCCUCUCUGGGUUUUUUCCUCCUCCCAGACACAGCUAAAAGACUCGCUCUGGUAUCUGUAACAUAUUUUCUAUCUCAUAAAGUUAUUCCUGAAGCUACUUUUUUGCGAGGCAGAUGGUGAGUGAUUUGAAAUCAGUACCAUGAGAGGACAAAAAGGUGGAAGAAACAGAAGGAGGACAGAAAUAGACAACUGGGGUUUGACAAAUGAAACCAUUUUCAAACUUUUUAAACAAAGUCAAAGAGAAGUGAGAGAGCCCAGCCAUGGAGAGCAAAACAAAUAGACUUUUAUAAGGACAGGAAAGGACAUGCUGAGGUUGAUGAGCACACAGCUGAAGACAGAAAAGGUGAAAAAGAAACUCAAAUGAUAGGAUGGAGGGCUUGAAAAAAUGGGAGAAUGAUCUGGAAUGAUGGGAGGAAUUAGGUGCAGAGAGAGAGGGAAUAUAAGAGGUCACAUUUCAAACCCAUUCACCCUGAAGACAUGCGACACAUGGUCGUGUCAAACUGCCUCAGCUUCUCUCAUUAAUUGCCCAACUACAUCUGCUGAGCUGAUCCAACAUGAAAGUGCCUCGAGUGGAAGAAAAAAACACACACUUCUUGAUCAAACGGAUGAUUCCAGGCAACUUAGAGAACUUUUCAAUCUGUUUAACCGUAGAUGAGGUCAAUCUCACUAAAUCCAUUUUUUUUUUCUGAAAUGUUUCACCGGGAUGAGAAUUAUGUAGAAAUCUAGAGAUAGGUAAUCCAGUUUCUUCUGUCUUGGUUUAAACAAUAGAAAGAAAGGAAAAAAGAAUAAAGACUCUGCUUUUAAAGAUGACCAUUCUUCAUUUGUCCACAGGGGGAGCCAGAAUCCACAAAAUCAGAAACAAGUCAAGCGCAAGCAGGUGCUGUCCUUGGCUGAUGCCGGUCAAUGUGAUAAGGUAUGAUUGGAUCUGAUGCCAUACAAUUUAAUGCAAUAUAAUCAAAUAUGAUACAAUACAGUAUAAUACAAUACCAUACUAUGCAAAUAUAAGUAUUGACUGCUAUUAUUAUUAUUACUCUUUAAAGGAGCUGAAUUCUCAUCAUGAGGAUCUACGCUGAGGCACCUCAGAAAGAAGAAGGACUUAUACUCUGGUCUUACACGG